rnacentral:misc_RNA from 1 species
GCAAACUUGGUCAUUUAGAGGAAGUAAAAGUCGUAACAAGGUCUCCGUUGGUGAACCAGCGGAGGGAUCAUUACUGAGUGUAAAAACUCCCAAAACCCAAUGUGAACUUACCACUGUUGCUUCGGCGGAUCCGCCCCGGGCGCGCCCUCACACGGCGUGCCCCGGAACCAGGCGCCCGCCGGGGGACCGAAACUCUUGUCUUCUCUGAGGAUCUCUGAGUAUGAUUAUAACAAUCAAUCAAAACUUUCAACAACGGAUCUCUUGGCUCUGGCAUCGAUGAAGAACGCAGC